rnacentral:rRNA from 1 species
UACGGAGGGUGCGAGCGUUGUCCGGAAUCACUGGGCGUAAAGGGCGCGUAGGGGGCGCGGGAAGUCAACGGUGAAAGUUCGGGGCUCAACCCUGAAUCGGCCGUCGAUACUCCCGGGCUCGAGCACUGUAGAGGCAGAUGGAAUUCCGGGUGUAGCGGUGGAAUGCGUAGAGAUCCGGAAGAACACCGGUGGCGAAGGCGGUCUGCUGGGCAGUUGCUGACACUGAUGCGCGACAGCGUGGGGAGCAAACAGG